UACGUAGGGUGCAAGCGUUGUCCGGAAUUAUUGGGCGUAAAGAGCUCGUAGGCGGUCUGUCACGUCGGCUGUGAAAACUCGGGGCUCAACCCCGAGCCUGCAGUCGAUACGGGCAGACUAGAGUGCUGUAGGGGAGACUGGAAUUCCUGGUGUAGCGGUGGAAUGCGCAGAUAUCAGGAGGAACACCGGUGGCGAAGGCGGGUCUCUGGGCCGACAUUGACGCUGAGGAGCGAAAGCGUGGGGAGCGAUCCGG
rnacentral:rRNA from 1 species